UACGUAGGGUGCAAGCGUUGUUCGGAAUUACUGGGCGUAAAGGGCGCGUAGGCGGCCAUCUAAGUCAGACGUGAAAUCCCCGGCUUAACCUGGGAACUGCGUCUGAUACUGGAAGGCUUGAGUGAUGGGAGAGGGAUGUAGAAUUCCAGGUGUAGCGGUGAAAUGCGUAGAUAUCUGGAGGAAUACCGGUGGCGAAGGCGGCAUCCUGGACCAUUACUGACGCGUGAGG
rnacentral:rRNA from 1 species